CAGUCGCCACGGUAAUACGUAGGGUGCGAGCGUUAAUCGGAAUUACUGGGCGUAAAGCGUGCGCAGGCGGUUGUGUAAGACAGGUAUGAAAUCCCCGGGCUUAACCUGGGAACUGCGCUUGUGACUGCACAGCUAGAGUAUGGCAGAGGGGGGUGGAAUUCCACGUGUAGCAGUGAAAUGCGUAGAGAUGUGGAGGAACACCGAUGGCGAAGGCAGCCCCCUGGGAUAACACUGACGUUCAUGCCCGAAAGCGUGGGUAGCAAACAGGAUUAGAUACCCGAGUAGUCCCUGUCUCUUAUAC
rnacentral:rRNA from 1 species